rnacentral:rRNA from 1 species
UACGGGGGGAGCAAGCGUUGUUCGGAUUCAUUGGGCGUAAAGGGUGCGUAGGCGGCGCGGUGAGUCGGGUGUGAAAUCUCGGAGCUUAACUCCGAAACUGCAUUCGAUACUGCCGUGCUUGAGGACUGGAGAGGAGACUGGAAUUUACGGUGUAGCGGUGAAAUGCGUAGAUAUCGUAAGGAAGACCAGUGGCGAAGGCGGGUCUCUGGACAGUUCCUGACGCUGAGGCACGAAGGUCAGGGGAGCAAACGGG